rnacentral:rRNA from 1 species
GACGAACGCUGGCGGCGUGCUUAACACAUGCCAGUCGAACGGAAAGGCCCUGCUUUUGGGGUGUGCUCGAGUGGCGAACGGGUGUGUAACACGUGAGUAACCUGCCCUUUUUUUUGGUAUAACUGCGGGAAAGGGGGUCUUAUUCGGUAUGGGAGCGCCUGCGGCAGGGUGGGGGGUGGAAUGUUUCGGCGGGUGGGGAUGGACUCGCGGCUUAUCAUUUUUUUGGUGGGGUUGGGGCUUACCAAGGCUUUGACGGGUAGCCGGCCUGAGAGGGUGAGCGGCAACAUUGGGACUGAGAUACGGCCCAGACUCCUAGGGGAGGCAGUAGUGAGGAAUAUUGCACAAUGGGAGGACGCCUGAUGCAGCAACGCCGCGUGCGGGAUGACGGCCUUCGGGUUGUAAACCGCUUUCGCCUGUGACGAAGCGUGAGUGACGGUAAUGGGUAAAGAAGCACCGGCUAACUACGUG